AUGGCAGCCAGAACUUCAUACUGGCAGAGCUACCUCGGGGCAAUCGUAUCCCAUGAGAGGCAGCGCCUGGAGCAUUUCCAGCAGGCUGAGGACAUCCUGCUGACCCUGCUGGAGGGUAUCCAUGCCAGGGAGCCCCGCUUCCUUGUGGACUACGCCAGGAACUUGGAAGCCUUUGAGUUCACUCUCUGCGCUUCCGAGGAUGCUGUCACCAUGGAGGUCCCCCUGCGGAUUGACGGCAGUGUCCUGCGGGUGCUGCCAUGCCAGUCCAGGGAUGCCUCAGAUGGCCACUGUCUGGGGCUGGGCACCUGCUAUCUGGAAGUGCCCUCUCCAGAGACUGACCUGGAGGAUUGGACAAGCACCGUGGGUGUCACGGAGCAGGCACGUGGUGUGAAGUGCCUGGUUCCAGGUAAAGUCCUCCAGCACCUGAAAGAGCUUCUCGUUUCGGCCAUUGUGUGCUGCCAACUCCGCUUCCUGCUUCAGCCAGGUGACCUCAGCGCUGAAAAUCUGCAAGAAGAUGCCAUGGAGCUCUCCUUGCUGAUCCGUGGUGGUUGGAAGACCAUCCGCUUUGACAUCAUCCCUGUGGUGAGGAGGCAACAGGAGCCGCUCUGGCUCAAGGGGCGGCAGAGCAACGGGGGCUUCCCUGAAGGCAGCCUCUGGAAGGCCACGGAAGAGGCCCACUUUGUCCCUGCCUCUGCCCAUUGCUGGAGAUCCUCUACUCACCUCCCAGUCCUGAAGCUGCUCUGGGCAGUGGACACAUUGCAGGGGCCCCGUCUGGACAGCCUUCGCCUGCUCGAUCAGCUACGCAGCCAGGACUGGCGAGAGGAGGGUGGGAAAGGCAGUCUCACCUUCAACCACCUGAAGAUGGUGCUGCUGUGGAGCACGGAGCUCUUCUCCUCCGCAGAGGACUGGCAGGACCUGGAGGGCUCUGUCUACAGGCUCUUGGUGAUUCUCCUCCGCUGCCUGGCCACCCAGUGCCUGCCCCACUUUCUGCACCCAGAGGAGAACCUCUUCCAAGGAGAGACACCAGACCUCACCUCCCUCUACCAUAAGGUGGAGAGCUUUGCUCGGGACCCCCGGCGCUUCCUCUGCUUCCAUUUUGGCCCUCCUGCGUGCACUGAGAGCUGGAAGGCAGAUCCCAGCACCCGAGCCCUCCUGCAUGUCCCCACCAAGGACAGGUCCUACUGGGACACACCCUACUUUGACAUCCUGCUCAGCCAGUUCCAGAUGUACCGGAUCCAGGACGGUGCACGCCGCUCAGCAAUGUCCCAGCUCCUCGCCAAGAUCCAGCAAGAAAUUCCCCUGCAGAGCUGAGCAGGACCCUGCUGUUGCCCCAUCUGGGUGUCUGGAAACUGGGAGCUUCUCUUUCCCAUUGUGUCGCUGGGUGUUGAGUAUUCCCUGCCAGCAUCCCGAGGGGGAAGCAUUGUGCUGCCUCAUCCGGACUCCCCUUUCGCUGGGGUUCUCACAGCCUGCUGCGGUGACAGCGACUGAGGGCGUCUCGCAGGGCACGCAGCACACGGUCCACGUUGC